rnacentral:rRNA from 1 species
GGCGAACGGGUGAGUAACACGUGGGUGAUCUGCCCUGCACUUCGGGAUAAGCCUGGGAAACUGGGUCUAAUACCGGAUAGGACGAUGGUUUGGAUGCCAUUGUGGAAAGUUUUUCGGUGUGGGAUGAGCUCGCGGCCUAUCAGCUUGUUGGUGGGGUAAUGGCCUACCAAGGCGGCGACGGGUAGCCGGCCUGAGAGGGUGGACGGCCACAUUGGGACUGAGAUACGGCCCAG